GGGUUUGGAGGGGAAGCGGAU
rnacentral:miRNA from 1 species